rnacentral:rRNA from 1 species
UACGUAGGGGCUAGCGUUAUCCGGAAUUACUGGGCGUAAAGGGUGCGUAGGUGGUUUCUUAAGUCAGAGGUGAAAGGCUACGGCUCAACCGUAGUAAGCCUUUGAAACUGGGAAACUUGAGUGCAGGAGAGGAGAGUGGAAUUCCUAGUGUAGCGGUGAAAUGCGUAGAUAUUAGGAGGAACACCAGUUGCGAAGGCGGCUCUCUGGACUGUAACUGACACUGAGGCACGAAAGCGUGGGGAGCAAACAGGAUUAGAUACCCGGGUAGUCCCUGAGCGGGCU